rnacentral:lncRNA from 1 species
AGGUGGAUGAGGUCCCAGAGGACUGACAGCUGCAGGUAGAUGAGGUCCGGGAGGACUGACAGCUACAGGAGGUGGAUGAGGUCCUGGAGAACUGACAGCUGCAGGUGGAUGAUGUCCGGGAGGACUGACAGCUGCAGGAGGUGGAUGAGGUCCCAGAGGACUGACAGCUGCAGGUCGAUGAGGUCCCGGAGGACUGACAGCUGCAGGAGGUGGAUGAGGUCCUGGAGGACUGACAGCUGCAGGUAGAUGAGGUCCGGGAGGACUGCCAGCUGCAGGAGGUGGAUGAGGUCCGGGAGGACUGCCAGUUGCAGGAGGUGGAUGAGGUCCCGGAGGACUGACAGCUGCAGGUAGAUGAGGUCCGGGAGGACUGAUAGCUACAGGAGGUGGAUGAGGUCCUGGAGGUCUGACAGCUGCAGGUGGAUGAUGUCCGGGAGGACUGACAGCUGCAGGAGGUGGAUGAGGUCCUGGAGGACUGACAGCUGCAGGAGGUGGAUGAGGUCCUGGAGGACUGACAGCGGCAGGUAGAUGAGGUCCGGGAGAACUGCCAGCUGCAGGAGGUGGAUGAGGUCCCAGAGGACUGACAGCUGCAGGUGGAUGAGGUCUCAGAGGACUGACAGCUGCAGGAGGUGGAUGAGGUCCCGGAGGACUGACAGCUGCAGGUAGAUGAGAUCCGGGAGGACUGCCAGUUGCAGGAGGUGGAUGAGGUCCCAGAGGACUGACAGCUGCAGGUUGAUGAGGUCUGAGAGGACUGACAGCUGCAGGUGGAUGAGGUCUGAGAGGACUGACAGCUGCAGGAGCUGGAUGAGGCCCUGGAGAACAAUCGAGUGGAGGAGGUGGUUAAGUUUUCAGGGGACUCUCCAGUGCAAGAGGUGCUUGAGUUCCCAGAGGACACUCCAGUGGAGGAGUUUGUUGAGGUCCCAGAAAACCUUCAGAUGGAGGGAGUGUUUGAGUUCCCAGACAACACCCGGUAGAGGAGGCGGCUGGCAGCCCAUCAAUGGUCCUGAAGGGCCAGCCAUGAGAUCGGGCAAGUAGGGCCAUUCUGAGAAAGGAUGAGCUU